UACGAAGGGUGCAAGCGUUACUCGGAAUUACUGGGCGUAAAGCGUGCGUAGGUGGUUCGUUAAGUCUGUCGUGAAAGCCCCGGGCUCAACCUGGGAAUGGCGAUGGAUACUGGCGGGCUAGAGUGCGGUAGAGGAGAGUGGAAUUCCCGGUGUAGCAGUGAAAUGCGUAGAGAUCGGGAGGAACAUCAGUUGCGAAGGCGGCUCUCUGGACCAGCACUGACACUGAGGCACGAAAGCGUGAGGAGCAAACAGG
rnacentral:rRNA from 1 species